CUACGGGGUGCUGCAGUGGAGAAUAUUGCACAAUGGGCGCAAGCCUGAUGCAGCCAUGCCGCGUGUAUGAAGAAGGCCUUCGGGUUGUAAAGUACUUUCAGCGGGGAGGAAGGGAGUAAAGUUAAUACCUUUGCUCAUUGACGUUACCCGCAGAAGAAGCACCGGCUAACUCCGUGCCAGCAGCCGCGGUAAUACGGAGGGUGCAAGCGUUAAUCGGAAUUACUGGGCGUAAAGCGCACGCAGGCGGUUUGUUAAGUCAGAUGUGAAAUCCCCGGCUCAACCUGGGAACUGCAUCUGAUACUGGCAAGCUUGAGUCUCGUAGAGGGGGGUAGAAUUCCAGGUGUAGCGGUGAAAUGCGUAGAGAUCUGGAGGAAUACCGGUGGCGAAGGCGGCCCCCUGGACGAAGACUGACGCUCAGGUGCGAAAGCGUGGGGAGCAAACAGGAUUAGAUACCCUCGUAGUC
rnacentral:rRNA from 1 species